GAUGAACGCUAGCGGCAGGCCUAAUACAUGCAAGUCGAACGGUGUCUUCGGACAUAGUGGCGCACGGGUGCGUAACACGUAUGCAACCUACCUUACAUUGGGGGAUAGCCUUUCGAAAGGGAGAUUAAUACCGCAUAAGACAGUAGCUGGGCAUCCAGCUGCUGUUAAAGAUUUAUCGAUGUAAGCUGGGCAUGCGUCCAAUUAGCUAGUUGGUGAGGUAACGGCUCACCAAGGCAAUGAUUGGUAGGGGAACUGAGAGGUCAAUCCCCCACACUGGCACUGAGAUACGUGCCAGACUCCUACGGGAGGCAGCAGUAGGGAAUAUUGGGCAAUAGACGCAAGUCUGACCCAGCCAUGCCGCGUGCAGGAUGAAGGCGUUAUGCGUUGUAAACUGCUUUUAUACAGGAAGAAACGACUCUUGCGAGAGGCAUUGACGGUACUGUAUGAAUAAGCACCGGCUAACUACGUGCCAGCCGCCGCAGUAAGAC
rnacentral:rRNA from 1 species